AGUCAGUUGGGGAAGUGGCUUCCACUUGUAGCUAAUAAAUUUAAAGUUGAGUUUGCUGCUCCUUGGUAGUGCCUGGGCCCUUUAGCAUUUCUGAAGUGAGCUUUGGAUCUCUUUAGAGUUGGAGCUGAGUUGAGGAAACUGAGUCACAAGAGUAGGAAGAGAAAGGCAAGAACUCCGUGGGCUCUGACCGUGUGCCUGGCAACUCUAAUUAAAUGUACAUUCUUUAAACCUCGAAGCGUCCAGAGGACAGACACUGUCACCUGCAUACUGUAGAUGAGGUUGUGGUUCCGGAUGCUGUGUCCGGCAGAGUGGCACUGUGUCCUCAGCCGUCCACCUGUCGUCUCACAGGGCUGUGUGUGAGAUACCAGUGUUUGAGAGAUGUGAAAAGGGAUCCCCUUGCUGUUUCUAGAAGAGGAUCCUGAUGGUAGUAAGCUGGCGUUUAUAGGAGAAAUGUGUCUAGGGAAUUGAUUGGCAAAAAGCUCCUACAAGCUCUUGUAAUAGGCAGGUGUGAAGAGCCUGGUCCCUGUGGCUUGUGGCUUGAGUCCCAGAUGGUACAGGAAGCCCCUGCUUGUGUGUGGGUGGGUUGCUCCACAUCCCCUGCCUGUGGCAUCUGACCAGGAGGCUUCACACAUAUCCCAUCAGGUGUGCUACAGCCCAGGGAUUUCAGAGCCUGCGGCUGCAUAGAAUUCCAUUUCCUUCGUUCUUGUGGUUCUGCACUUGUCUGUUGCCCGCUCACUGGUGCUUGGUGGCCGUUUGAACUCUUUCCAUAGAGCAAUCACAUGCCCCCCGCCCCUUGAGUUGCCCCAUCUAGGGGAAGCCCUUUGGGCUUGCCCCUGGAAGAGCCCCAGAUACACAGAGGCCUAAUACCCAGGACCGGCUCCAAGUAGCUCUUGUGUCACGUGACUCGAGCAGGAAGUUCCAUAAAUGUUUAAAUCUGUUAGUUCUUGUCCUGGGGUUUGCUGGGCGGGUCUUGAAGAAAGUGGGUGUGGGUGUCUUAAGGGGAAACAGAUGUGAAUCACUGGCUCUUUACUUCUCCUUUGCGUUUGCUAAGGGUGAGGGGCCAGUCGGAGGUGAAGGGAAGGAAAACAGCAUGGAGCCCAGUGUGCCUGUUCCCACCCCCGGGCCUGCGCUCGGGGGUCUGAAGUGUGCACAGCAAUCCUCCCCUUCCACACCCAGGCAUGUAUGAGUGUCUAUCCUGUCCACACCACUGUGGUAGAUUGAGAAGCGUACUGGGUUCUUAUCCUUUCUCGAGCCCUCCUGGGAGAUGGUGUGUGUCCUGGGCCUCGUGCCCUCAGCAAUUCAAAGCCCAAUCCAGGGGCAACGGGCUAAAAUGUAGAUUGCUUUGAGAUGAAUUCUGUGGCUGUAGUUCCAGCUACUGAGGAAGGCUGAAGCCAGGGGCUUGAUUGCUCAAGCCCAAGAGUUCAAGGUUAAUUUGGGCAAGCAAGACCCUUCUCUUAAAAAAAAAAUGCAGAUUACAGGGCACAUUUGAGUUCCCUGGAUCAGAGCCUGGGGUAGAGUAUAUAUAGGCUUCCAGCAUUAAUAUCUAACCUGGGUCUGUUACAUCAAGCUGAGAACCCUCCAACUGUCAGGAAGGUUUUGAAAUUAUACUUCUCCCUUUUUCUUUUUUGAUAUGGUCUGAGUUACCCCAAACUCUGAGUUGGUUCCGAGGCCUUCCUUGGGGCCAUGGAGCUACAGGUGGGCAUCAGGUCAGAAAGGCCCUACUAAGGAUUGGGGUGUAGUGGUCAAGCAUGUGAUCCCAGCAGUCAGGAGCCUAAGGCAGGAAGAUAAUCACUAGUUUGAGGCUAGAUUGAGGCUACAGAGUGAGUUCCAGUCCCAAGAUAGCCUGUGCUGCAGUGGGGAAUCCUAUAUCCUACAUACAUACAUACAAACAUACAUACAUACAUACAUACAUACAUACAGGAAUGAAGAUCAAAUACUUCUCUGCCAGAGGACCAGAGUUCAGUUCCCAUCAACCCCUGGUCGACUUUUACAACUAUUUUGUACUUUCAUCUCCUGGGGAUUCAAAACCUUCUUCUGGCCUCUUUGGGUACCUACGAUUGGACACACACACACAUAACACUUUAAAAAAAUAAUGAAAAGAAAAGAUAUCCUGUUUAGGAGGCAGUGUCUCUCUUGAAGGAAGCCAAGAAGUGAGUAGGCGAAGCCCAGGGUGUGACACCCAGGGUGGGCAGGCAGGGUGUCAGCACCGAGUGCUUAUUUAGCUAGACACAGUUCUUACCCGGGCAAGACAAACUCUUAGGCUUGACUCUGUGGCUUCAAUGGUGUCAUGCUGAAGGAGCUGCUGGCUUCCAUGGACUAGCCUCAGUUUUACUAACACGAAGGGAUGAUGCAGUGUGAAAAGGGGAGUCCAGAGGCAGUGCUAGGUAUUAAAAAGUGAUGCUUUUGUGCCCAUUUGAAAAAGAGCAGCCUGCUCGCCUCGGGCUCUGCCCUUUGUCCUUAUAGUGAGGGGUAUCCACACAGACUGUUCUGCCUUCUGCCCUGGUGGAGACUUCCCAUGCUGGGAACUUUCCAGUGUGGGCCCAGCUAAGGAUAGACAGGGCAGGGCUGGGGUGUGUGCUGGUGACUGGAGGUGAGCCACAGCUCUGCCCGCAGCAGCCCCUGGCUCUCACUUCAUCCUUCUGCAGGUUCCGGUUGGUUCCCACAGGAGUACUUCCUCCUGUAGAGCCUGAGCUGUUCCCCUUCAUACUCUAGCCAAAUCAGAGCUGACCCACUCAGGCAGCCUCCCCUCCCCUGCUCGCUGGACUCAGUUUCUCCUUUUACCGUGCUUGACUCCCUGGCAGGGCUGACACGGCCAUUUUCCUAGAGGUACUGAAGGACAUGGUGUCUUGGAGGGAGAGGUGCCUCCUGAUCAUCAGAAUAAAAGGGCCAUGUUCAUUCUUCUUUCUGUUUUCUGCCACGCUGAGGCUGUGUGUGUGUUACUAUGUUCUGUCUGGGAGGUAGGAAUGUAUGUUCUGAGAACAGUACAAAACAGAACGGGAGGGAGGGCCAGAGAUGGCAGAUCUAUAGAGAACUCUCUGGUAAGAUGUUAAAGAAAAACUGGUCCAUCUGUUUAGA
rnacentral:lncRNA from 1 species